rnacentral:rRNA from 1 species
ACUCCUACGGGAGGCAGCAGUCGAGGAUCUUCGGCAAUGGGCGCAAGCCUGACCGAGCGACGCCGCGUGCGCGAUGAAGGCCUUCGGGUUGUAAAGCGCUGUCGAGGGGGAGGAAGCCGAAAGGUUGGCCUAUCCCUGGAGGAAGCACGGGCUAAGUUCGUGCCAGCAGCCGCGGUAAU